rnacentral:rRNA from 1 species
CCUACGGGGGGCAGCAGUGGGGAAUAUUGGACAAUGGGGGCAACCCUGAUCCAGCCAUGCCGCGUGUGUGAAGAAGGCCCUCGGGUUGUAAAGCACUUUCAGUGAGGAAGAACGCCUGGUGGUUAAUACCCAUCAGGAAAGACAUCACUCACAGAAGAAGCACCGGCUAACUCCGUGCCAGCAGCCGCGGUAAUACGGAGGGUGCGAGCGUUAAUCGGAAUUACUGGGCGUAAAGCGCGCGUAGGUGGCUUGAUAAGCCGGUUGUGAAAGCCCCGGGCUCAACCUGGGAACGGCAUCCGGAACUGUCAAGCUAGAGUGCAGGAGAGGAAGGUAGAAUUCCCGGUGUAGCGGUGAAAUGCGUAGAGAUCGGGAGGAAUACCAGUGGCGAAGGCGGCCUUCUGGACUGACACUGACACUGAGGUGCGAAAGCGUGGGUAGCACACAGGAUUAGAUACCCUAGUAGUC